CAUACCUUAGUACGGCGAGUGAGCGGUAAAAGCUCAAAUUUGAAAUCUGGUACUUUCAGUGCCCGAGUUGUAAUUUGUAGAAUUUGUCUUUGAUUAGGUCCUUGUCUAUGUUCCUUGGAACAGGACGUCAUAGAGGGUGAGAAUCCCGUUUGGCGAGGAUACCUUUUCUCUGUAAGACUUUUUCGAAGAGUCGAGUUGUUUGGGAAUGCAGCUCAAAGUGGGUGGUAAAUUCCAUCUAAAGCUAAAUAUUGGCGAGAGACCGAUAGCGAACAAGUACAGUGAUGGAAAGAUGAAAAGAACUUUGAAAAGAGAGUGAAAAAGUACGUGAAAUUGUUGAAAGGGAAGGGCAUUUGAUCAGACAUGGUGUUUUUUGCAUGCACUCGCCUCUCGUGGGCUUGGGCCUCUCAAAAAUUUCACUGGGCCAACAUCAAUUCUGGCAGUAGGAUAAAUCAUUAAGAAUGUAGCUACCUCGGUAGUGUUAUAGCUUAUUGGAAUACUGCUAGCUGGGAUUGAGGACUGCGCUUCGGCAAGGAUGUUGGCAUAAUGGUUAAAUGCCGCCCGUCUUGAAACACGGACCA
rnacentral:rRNA from 1 species